GACGAACGCUGGCGGCGUGCUUAACACAUGCAAGUCGAACGGAGUGGCGAACGGGUGAGUAACACGUGUGUGACCUGCGCUACACUUCGGGAUAAGCCUGGGAAACUGGGUCUAAUACCGGAGAGUGUGGGAUGGGCGCGCGGCCUAUCUGCUUGUUGGUGGGGUAAUGGCAGAGCAAGGCGGCGGCGGGUAGCCGGCCUGUGAGGGUGGACGGCCACAGUGGGACUGAGACACUGCCCAGACGCCUACGGGGGGCAGCAGUGGGGAAUAUUGCACAAUGGGCGGAAGCAUGAUGCAGCGACGCCGCGUGGGGGAUGACGGCCUUCGGGUUGUAAACUCCUUUCACCAUCGACGCGGUAGCUGGAGAAGAAGCACCGGCUAACUACGUGCCAGCCGCCGCGGUAAUUC
rnacentral:rRNA from 1 species